CCGGCUCCGCGGCGCUGCCUCCCGGGGCCUGGGCGCCAUGGCGCUGCCCUGGCUGCAGCGCGUCGAGCUCGCGCUGUUCGCCGCCGCCUUCCUGUGCGGCGCUGUGGCGGCCGCGGCGCUCACCCGGACCCAGGGCUCCUUCAGGGGUAGCUGUCCGUUGUAUGGUGUGACCGCCCUGAAUGGCUCCACCCUGGCCUUAUCCCAUCCCGCGGCCCCAUCCCUCUGCUACUUUGUGGCUGGGGCUUCUGGCUUCCUGGCCCUCUACUGCCUCCUGCUUCUGCUCUUCUGGGUCUACAGCAGCUGCAUCGAGGACUCACAAAGAGGUCUCAUAGGGCUCCGCGUUGCACUGGCCAUCUCAGCUAUAGCCGUCUUCCUGGUCUUAGUGUCUGCCUGUAUCCUUCGAUUUGGCACCAGAUCUUUCUGCAAUUCCAUCAUCUCCCUAAACAGUACAAUUAGCUGCUCUGAAGCUCAGAAAAUCCCAUGGACACCCCCUGGAACAGCUUUGCAGUUUUACUCCAACCUACACAAUGCUGAAACCUCUUCAUGGGUGAAUCUGGUGUUGUGGUGUGUGGUCUUGGUGCUCCAGGUCAUGCAGUGGAAGUCCGAAGCCACCCCAUACCGGCCUCUGGAGAGGGGAGACCCUGAGUGGAGCUCUGAGACAGAUGUUCUUGUUGGGCCACGCGCAUCCCAUUCCUGAAGAGUAACCAGAGUGCAUUCUGCAGCCAAAGACUUUGUGCCCAAGUGCCUGUAAUCCUCUUGUCCCCACACAGCCCUGUUUGUGCUGAAAGCCUCAGUUUUCCCUCCAGGAGGGAAAGGAGGGGGUGAAUGACCCAAGGUGGUUUCUUCACAAGCUCCGGUAGGCACCCACAGUGUUGUCAAAGAGCUGAGCAUUGGGGAAGUGUCCAGCUUUGUCCAAGAGGAAAUAGAAGCGACGGCCUUUGACCUUCAGAGGCAGCAUGGCAGGGACUUCUCCUCGGUGGGCCAUGCAGGAUACCUGGUUCAAGGGGACGGUGAAAUGGGCCCCCAAGCCAAAAGGGGCAUGAGUGGUCAGGGUCACCUGCUGCCCUCCUGCUCGAAGUAUCACUGAACGCACAGAUCGGAGAGAGAAGAGAAGGCCAGCACCCAGUACCAGGGUCCCUACAGAAGAGCAGCGUGGUGUGAGGUGUGUUCACCGGAAGGCUACACACCAGCCCUUUCC